rnacentral:rRNA from 1 species
UUAACCGUAUAGGGGAGCCGGAGGGAAACCGAGUCUUAAUUGGGCGUUAAGUUGCAGGGUAUAGACCCGAAACCCGGUGAUCUAGCCAUGGGCAGGUUGAAGGUUGGGUAACACUAACUGGAGGACCGAACCGACUAAUGUUGAAAAAUUAGCGGAUGACCUGUGGCUGGGGGUGAAAGGCCAAUCAAACCGGGAGAUAGCUGGUUCUCCCCGAAAGCUAUUUAGGUAGCGCCUCGUGAAUUCAUCUCCGGGGGUAGAGCACUGUUUCGGCUAGGGGGCCAUCCCGGCUUACCAACCCGAUGCAAACUGCGAAUACCGGAGAAUGUUAUCACGGGAGACACACGGCGGGUGCUAACGUCCGUCGUGAAGAGGGAAACAACCCAGACCGCCAGCUAAGGUCCCAAAGUCACAGUUAAGUGGGAAACGAUGUGGGAAGGCUCAGACAGCCAGGAUGUUGGCUUAGAAGCAGCCAUCAUUUAAAGAAAGCGUAAUAGCUCACUGGUCGAGUCGGCCUGCGCGGAAGAUGUAACGGGGCUAAACCAUGCACCGAAGCUGCGGCAGCGACGCUGAUGCGUUGUUGGGUAGGGGAGCGUUCUGUAAGCCUGUGAAGGUGGCCUGUGAGGGUUGCUGGAGGUAUCAGAAGUGCGAAUGCUGACAUAAGUAACGAUAAAGCGGGUGAAAAGCCCGCUCGCCGGAAGACCAAGGGUUCCUGUCCAACGUUAAUCGGGGCAGGGUGAGUCGACCCCUAAGGCGAGGCCGAAAGGCGUAGUCGAUGGGAAACGGGUUAAUAUUCCCGUACUUGGUGUUACUGCGAAGGGGGGACGGAGAAGGCUAUGUUGGCCGGGCGACGGUUGUCCCGGUUUAAGCGUGUAGGCUGGUUUUCCAGGCAAAUCCGGAAAAUCAAGGCUGAGGCGUGAUGACGAGGC